rnacentral:rRNA from 1 species
UUAAGCGACUAAGCGUACACGGUGGAUGCCCUGGCAGUCAGAGGCGAUGAAGGACGUGCUAAUCUGCGAAAAGCGUCGGUAAGGUGAUAUGAACCGUUAUAGCCGGCGAUGUCCGAAUGGGGAAACCCAGUGUGAUUCGUCACACUAUCGUUAACUGAAUACAUAGGUUAACGAGGCGAACCGGGGGAACUGAAACAUCUAAGUACCCCGAGGAAAAGAAAUCAACCGAGAUUCCCCCAGUAGCGGCGAGCGAACGGGGAGCAGCCCAGAGUCUGAAUCAGCUUGUGUGUUAGUGGAACGGUCUGGAAAGUCCGACGGUACAGGGUGAUAGUCCCGUACACCAAAAUGCACAGGUUGUGAACUCGAAGAGUAGGGCGGGACACGUGGUAUCCUGUCUGAAUAUGGGGGGACCAUCCUCCAAGGCUAAAUACUCCUGACUGACCGAUAGUGAACCAGUACCGUGAGGGAAAGGCGAAAAGAACCCCGGCGAGGGGAGUGAAAAAGAACCUGAAACCGUGUACGUACAAGCAGUGGGAGCACCUUCGGGUGUGACUGCGUACCUUUUGUAUAAUGGGUCAGCGACUUAUAUUCUGUAGCAAGGUUAACCGUAUAGGGGAGCCGCAGGGAAACCGAGUCUUAACUGGGCGUUAAGUUGCAGGGUAUAGACCCGAAACCCGGUGAUCUAGCCAUGGGCAGGUUGAAGGUUGGGUAACACUAACUGGAGGACCGAACCGACUAAUGUUGAAAAAUUAGCGGAUGACUUGUGGCUGGGGGUGAAAGGCCAAUCAAACCGGGAGAUAGCUGGUUCUCCCCGAAAGCUAUUUAGGUAGCGCCUCGUGAACUCAUCUUCGGGGGUAGAGCACUGUUUCGGCUAGGGGGUCAUCCCGACUUACCAACCCGAUGCAAACUACGAAUACCGAAGAAUGUUAUCACGGGAGACACACGGCGGGUGCUAACGUCCGUCGUGAAGAGGGAAACAACCCAGACCGCCAGCUAAGGUCCCAAAGUCAUGGUUAAGUGGGAAACGAUGUGGGAAGGCACAGACAGCCAGGAUGUUGGCUUAGAAGCAGCCAUCAUUUAAAGAAAGCGUAAUAGCUCACUGGUCGAGUCGGCCUGCGCGGAAGAUGUAACGGGGCUAAACCAUGCACCGAAGCUGCGGCAGCGACACUAUGUGUUGUUGGGUAGGGGAGCGUUCUGUAAGCCUGCGAAGGUGACCUGUGAGGGUUGCUGGAGGUAUCAGAAGUGCGAAUGCUGACAUAAGUAACGAUAAAGCGGGUGAAAAGCCCGCUCGCCGGAAGACCAAGGGUUCCUGUCCAACGUUAAUCGGGGCAGGGUGAGUCGACCCCUAAGGCGAGGCCGAAAGGCGUAGUCGAUGGGAAACAGGUUAAUAUUCCUGUACUUGGUGUUACUGCGAAGGGGGGACGGAGAAGGCUAUGUUAGCCGGGCGACGGUUGUCCCGGUUUAAGCAUGUAGGCUGGUUGUCCAGGCAAAUCCGGAUAAUCAAGGCUGAGGUGUGAUGACGAGGCACUACGGUGCUGAAGUAACAAAUGCCCUGCUUCCAGGAAAAGCCUCUAAGCAUCAGGUAACAUUAAAUCGUACCCCAAACCGACACAGGUGGUCAGGUAGAGAAUACCAAGGCGCUUGAGAGAACUCGGGUGAAGGAACUAGGCAAAAUGGUGCCGUAACUUCGGGAGAAGGCACGCUGGUGUGUAGGUGAAGUCCCUGCGGAUGGAGCUGAGACCAGUCGAAGAUACCAGCUGGCUGCAACUGUUUAUUAAAAACACAGCACUGUGCAAACACGAAAGUGGACGUAUACGGUGUGACGCCUGCCCGGUGCCGGAAGGUUAAUUGAUGGGGUUAUCCGUAAGGAGAAGCUCUUGAUCGAAGCCCCGGUAAACGGCGGCCGUAACUAUAACGGUCCUAAGGUAGCGAAAUUCCUUGUCGGGUAAGUUCCGACCUGCACGAAUGGCGUAAUGAUGGCCAGGCUGUCUCCACCCGAGACUCAGUGAAAUUGAACUCGCUGUGAAGAUGCAGUGUACCCGCGGCAAGACGGAAAGACCCCGUGAACCUUUACUAUAGCUUGACACUGAACAUUGAGCCUUGAUGUGUAGGAUAGGUGGGAGGCUUUGAAGCGUGGACGCCAGUCUGCGUGGAGCCAACCUUGAAAUACCACCCUUUAAUGUUUGAUGUUCUAACGUUGGCCCCUUACCGGGGUUGCGGACAGUGUCUGGUGGGUAGUUUGACUGGGGCGGUCUCCUCCCAAAGCGUAACGGAGGAGCACGAAGGUUAGCUAAUCCUGGUCGGACAUCAGGAGGUUAGUGCAAUGGCAUAAGCUAGCUUGACUGCGAGCGUGACGGCGCGAGCAGGUGCGAAAGCAGGUCAUAGUGAUCCGGUGGUUCUGAAUGGAAGGGCCAUCGCUCAACGGAUAAAAGGUACUCCGGGGAUAACAGGCUGAUACCGCCCAAGAGUUCAUAUCGACGGCGGUGUUUGGCACCUCGAUGUCGGCUCAUCACAUCCUGGGGCUGAAGUAGGUCCCAAGGGUAUGGCUGUUCGCCAUUUAAAGUGGUACGCGAGCUGGGUUUAGAACGUCGUGAGACAGUUCGGUCCCUAUCUGCCGUGGGCGCUGGAGAAUUGAGGGGGGCUGCUCCUAGUACGAGAGGACCGGAGUGGACGCAUCACUGGUGUUCGGGUUGUCAUGCCAAUGGCACUGCCCGGUAGCUAAAUGCGGAAGAGAUAAGUGCUGAAAGCAUCUAAGCACGAAACUUGCCCCGAGAUGAGUUCUCCCUGAGACUUUAAGUCUCCUGAAGGAACGUUGAAGACGACGACGUUGAUAGGCCGGGUGUGUAAGCGCAGCGAUGCGUUGAGCUAACCGGUACUAAUGAACCGUGAGGCUUAACCUU